GUGUUUAUUAUGGAUAAUACUGAAUAUAAUCAAAUGUAAAUAGAAGCAUGAGAAGAAACCCAAGGAAACCCAUGCAUCCUUCAUUCAGAUUCCUUCUCCACUAAUCAUUAAUGACAUGACUUUGAACAAAUUACCCAAACCCAAUGAAUUAUCUUCAUCUGUUGUAUGGCAGUAAAAUGCUCUCAUGUUUUGCUUAAUUUGAGACUUAGACAAAAAUGAAAAUAUUACACUAAAAACAACUGGCACACAACCUGGUGCUUAAUAAAAGUUGAUGGCAGUGCUAUUAUUGUUCUUAUCC
rnacentral:lncRNA from 1 species